CUGUGUAAAACAAGUUGCUACUUAUUUAUUCUUCCUCUUUAAACCAGGGAGCAAUAGAACAAUGAAGAAGCACUUACUAAGGCUGAAAAGUUGAUGUUAGCCAAAGACAUGGGAAAGAGAAGCAGAUGUGAAGAGCUUCUAUACAGACAAAAAGUUAUAUUGAUAUUUAAGUAAAAAUAUUCAAAAUCUUAUAAAGACACACCUUACAUGCUUUGCUUUUGUUUCACGUCACAUCCUUGGCCAGAUUUAAAGGUGGAAACUCUGGUUUUGCUGCAAGGCUGCAUAGCAACAGGAGAGGAGGAAAUGGCCUCAGACUGCACAAGGAGAGGCUGAAGUUUGACAUUAGGAAAAAUUUCUUUACUGGCAUUACUGGAAUGACAUGGGAACAGACUACUCAGGCAAGUGGUGGAGUGUUCAAGAAAUGACUACACGUGGCCCUCUCUGCUGUGGUUCAGCUGACAUGAUGCUGUUCGUCCAAAGGUUGGUUUUCUUCUUCAUUGUAUUUUGGUACAAACUUCAUUAGGACUAUUACUGAAAUUAUUUAAAUUUUCUUUCUUUGAUCGCUCUCUGCAACUCACAGGAAAUAUGCAGUAUGCCAUCUUGAAACAAGGAUUCAGGGACAUUAUUUCCUUAACUUCAAUGGAAAAUUGUAAAAAUUACUUGAAAAACUGUGAAAUUAGUUGAAUUGUACUGAUUUUUUUUCUAUCUUUGAGAUAAUAGUAUCAUGUCAAUUGAUAGUGAUAAUACAUAAAUAAAAAAGAAAAAGUAUUGUAUUAUAAUUCCCUACUAAAAAUUAAAAUUGAAAAUUACUGAGGAAAACAAAAGAAUUUUCUUAGAAUGCAAUUUCAAUGUUAAGUAGGGUCAUAAUUUAUGCUUUGCAAUGAAUACAACUCUUUUUUGAUGUUGUUGUUCUUCUCAUCUAAUUCCCUUCUACUUCUAAGGAACGUAAAAUACCAGACUUUUCAGAAUACCCAUAUUGCAGCUAAAUAAAUAAAACAAUAGAAAGAAAUAUCCAACCAUUUCAUUUAUCUUUGUCAAGAAAACUUCAACUGACAUCAAUGCUCAGAAACUGUUUAUUCCUUACAAAAGAGGGAGCAGGAGAGGGUUUGCAUUCUUUACCUUCCAAGAAGAACCACAGCAGGGAAAAUAUCCUGAGGAAUCUGAACAGUUCAUCCUCUACAUGCAUGUUUUAAAACUGGUGCUCUGUUCCCAGGCAUGUUGUAUUUAUUUUGUGUGUGUUUUAUUUCAAUUAUUUAUGAAUAUUGCCCCUGCCUGUUCCAGGCCACAGGCAGUGUAUUGAGAUUGAAAGGCCUCAGGAUGAAGAUUUGCCAGGCUUGCUCUGUUUGAACUUGCCUGGACGUGCCUGGUAAUGGGCCUUGUUUUUCUUGACCCCAGAAGGACUGGGGAAGGUUGAACCACAACACCAGAUAAAGGCACAGACAUUUUAUAGCAUAUUUUAACUGUGGCAUUAUUGAUGAUAUUUGUUCUUUAAGAGUGGUGUUCUUUCCUUUGGUUUGUUUUUUUUUCUUUUUUUUUUUUAACAGCUGCAUCUCGGCUAAUGAUAAUUCUACAGUCAUUAAGUUUUCAUCAUUAAGUUUUAAUCAUUAAGUUUUAAUCAUUAAGUUUUAAUGAUUAUAGAAUAAAUUCUUAAAUCAUUACA
rnacentral:lncRNA from 1 species